rnacentral:rRNA from 1 species
UACGUAGGGGGCUAGCGUUGUCCGGAAUCAUUGGGCGUAAAGAGCGUGUAGGCGGUCCGGUAAGUCCGCUGUGAAAGUCAAGGGCUCAACCCUUGGAUGCCGGUGGAUACUGCAGGGCUAGAGUCCGGAAGAGGCGAGUGGAAUUCCUGGUGUAGCGGUGGAAUGCGCAGAUAUCAGGAGGAACACCGGUGGCGAAGGCGGGUCUCUGGGCAGUAACUGACGCUGAGGAGCGAAAGCGUGGGGGAGCGAACAGG